UCUCUCUUGCUUAUCCUAAACUUAUCUUCCUCUCUUUUCUUUUUGUUACAGACGGCAAACACUAACUCUCUCCAUCUUCAUCUCCCCCUCUUCAACAAUAAUGGUGAAACAGAAGAAUCACCAAAAGAAAUUUAACCAUUUUCUUCAUCUACUAUAUCUCCUCCAUAAAACCACAAGAUAACUGAAAUAGUUUCACCUCCAAAAUGAAAAACCACAUCUUCUGAGCUAUGUUCAUCAUCGUUAGAUAACCUCUUUACUCCAUCUCCUCAUGGUCUCUCAUCUCUCUAAAAGCCCAAACUUCUUACCAAUUGGAAAACCCCAAUAAUCGUUCAAUUCCAGAUCUAUUCAAGGUCGUCAAUUGAUUAAUUACACAAAAGGAACACCCUAACUGGUGUUUCAUUUUUUUUGUUGGGUAAUUCUCAGUAUUACACCUACCAACAGCUAAUUGCAGACAUAUCGGUGUGGACAUGGCUAUGGAGAAAAUGGGGCAAGAAUAGUUGCUCGAGAAAUUGUGUGCUGAGCAUAUCUAGGGGUUUGGAAUGGGAUGCUGGUUUCUAUAUUGGACAGGGGAGGAGACCCCAGCUUAUUCUCUGUGGAAGAUAUAUUGGAGAGGAGUGGUAUGACGUAGUUUAUAUGUCCUUCACAUUCAGUUCUGGUAAAGGGACAUUGUGGAGGAUUUGGUGUUGGUGGGUAGGUUUUGAGGGAGGAGGAUCAUGUUAUAAGAGUGUUUUUUUGGUGUCUAUGGUGGGAGGUUUUGCUGUUGUGGUGGACUAGGAGAGGCAGAUGGUGGAGGUAGAGGUGGUGGUGAUGGGCAUGAAUAGAUAUUGUAGAUUCUUGUACAUCAAAGCCUGUUUUAAGAUAGGAUAUUCUGAAGAUAUGGUGUUCACAAGCCUAAGGCGUCCAUGGAUACUGAGAAUGGGGAGAAUGUUGAAGAUCAUGAGUCAUUGCUGCCCUGGUUUGCCACUACAAUUUUUAUGCUCGCGAGGUGGUUGAUAGAAAUCAUGAAAGAAGGGAAAAUGGUGAGAUUGCUGAAAUGAUGAUUAAAAGAAUGGUUGUUGUUUUUAUGCCCAAUGGUCUAGGGAAUACACUAGGAAGAUACACAUGAUCCUGGAAGCUAUCCUAAGGUCGGAGAUGAAGAAGGGAUAGGAAGAUAGCACCACUAAUAAUUUUAUUACUAAGUUGGGGUUACGGUUCAUUUUAAUAAUUUUAUUCAUUAAGUUAAGCGUUAACCAACGUAAGAAUGGCUCUCUUGCUCAUCACACUCUCAAUCAUGCUGACUUCUGAAAGUUAAUGGUGUUGUUAAAGAUAUCAAGAUUCUUUUAAAUAAAUUUCGGUCAUCAUUUCGAAUUUCAAUUUUGUUUAUUGUUGUGGCAUGUGGUGCCUGCCUCAACUUGUUUGGUAAUGAAAGCUUGGUUAUUAUUAUCUGGAAAGGGUUGAUGCUUGCUGAGAUAAUGAACUAUUUUGCAGUCCAUACAUUAGUUGAAGCGUAUGAGAUAUUCACACUAAUUUUGCAGUCAUUACAAUAGCUUAUUUACAUUAUUAGUUAUUUCAUUGUUAGUCACUGCAAGUCAUUGUGUAAUCUUUAUUAGUUUGCAUCUAGUUGUCUCUUUGUUAAUCUUUGUUGGAUAUUUAUGACUUGUUUUGUGCUUUCAGGGAUCUGGAAAUGCAAUAGCAAGCUAAUUGACCUAUUAGUUUCUAACAUGAAACCAAGUGCAGAAGCUUCCUAUUUCAAGUGUUGCAGAUUCUUUUUCUUCAAAGACACCACCUGACAAGAUCUAGAACUAUGGAGAAGCAUUAUGGUUACGUGAAAUUUCACCCAUGUUGCCUUCGUAGUUAUUCUAUAGUAAUUUGUUUUUUAGAUUUUUGUAUGUUCCGUAAAUUGUUUUCAUAGUUGGAACUGAUUGUAGUUCUUUAUUGUGAAAUGAAAUCCAUGUGUUUAAUGAAUUUUUCACAAAUGUAUAACUCGAUGUUGGGGUUGUAUAUUGAGUUUCGUGAAUACAAGUUAAAACUC